rnacentral:lncRNA from 1 species
UUCCCUCCUCUCCCCUUUCUAUUUCAAUUGAUCCAAAUGGAGCCCAAAUUUUUAAUUUUUCUUUAAUUUAUGAAAUUAGACUUGACUUAGUGAUUUUAAUUUGUCAGAUGGAAAUGCAGAUCUAGAUAUCAAGGAAGAGUGAUCAUGACCAAUUCCUCUACUCAUAGAUAACCAUAAACUCCAUUUAAAUGCUUGUUUAAAUAAUUAUUAGAUCCAAGGGUUGGUUAAGACCCCUAGAUA